GUGCUUGCUUGGGUAGCACAUAUACUAAAAUUGGAACAAUACAGAGAAGAUUAGCAUGACCCCUGAGCAGGGAUGACACGCAAAUUUGUGAAAUGUUUCAUAUUUUU
rnacentral:snRNA from 1 species